CCUACGGGUGGCAGCAGUGGGGGAUAUUGCACAAUGGGGGGAACCCUGAUGCAGCGACGCCGCGUGGGUGAAGAAGCGCCUCGGCGCGUAAAGCCCUGUCAGCCGGGAAGAAAAUGACGGUACCUGUAGCAGAAGCCACGGCUGACUACGUGCCAGCAGCCGCGGUCACCCGGAGGGGGCAAGCGUUAUCCGGAUUGACUGGGGUGAAAGGGGGCGCAGACGGCGUUGCAAGCCAGGAGGGAAAGCCAGGGGCCCAACCCCGGGACUGCCCUUGGAACCGGGUGUCUGGAGUGCAGGAGGGGCAUGCGGAAUUCGUGGUGUAGCGGUGAAAUGCGUAGAUAUCAGGCAGAACACCGAUGGCGAAGGCGGCCUGCUGGACUGCGACUGACGUUGAGGCCCGAAAGCGUGGGGAUCGAACAGGAUUAGAUACCCCAGUAGUC
rnacentral:rRNA from 1 species